UACAGAGGGGGCUAGCGUUGUUCGGAAUUACUGGGCGUAAAGCGCACGUAGGCGGCUUUGCAAGUCAGAGGUGAAAGCCCGGGGCUCAACCCCGGAAUUGCCUUUGAGACUGCAUCGCUAGAAUUGUGGAGAGGUAAGUGGAAUUCCGAGUGUAGAGGUGAAAUUCGUAGAUAUUCGGAAGAACACCAGUGGCGAAGGCGGCUCACUGGAUCGGUAUUGACGCUGAGGUGCGAAAGCGUGGGGAGCAAACAGG
rnacentral:rRNA from 1 species